rnacentral:rRNA from 1 species
UACGGAGGAUCCGAGCGUUAUCCGGCUUUAUUGGGUUUAAAGGGUGCGUCGGCGGCCUAUUAAGUCAGGGGUGAAAGACGGUAGCUUAACUAUCGCAGUGCCUUUGAUACUGAUAGGCUUGAAUGUACUUGAGGUAGGCGGAAUGUGACAAGUAGCGGUGAAAUGCAUAGAUAUGUCACAGAACACCAAUUGCGAAGGCAGCUUACUAAAGUAUGAUUGACGCUGAGGCACGAAAGCGUGGGGAUCAAACAGG